rnacentral:rRNA from 1 species
GACGAACGCUGGCGGCGUGCCUAAUACAUGCAAGUAGAACGCACAGUUUAUACCGUAGCUUGCUCCACCAUAGACUGUGAGUUGCGAACGGGUGAGUAACGCGUAGGUAACCUGCCUGGUAGCGGGGGAUAACUAUUGGAAACGCUAGCUAAUACCGCAUAAUAUUGAUUAUUGCAUGAUAAUUGAUUGAAAGAUGCUAUUGCAUCACUACCAGAUGGACCUGCGUUGUAUUAGCUAGUAGGUGAGGUAACGGCUCACCUAGGCGACGAUACAUAGCCGAGCUGAGAGGGUGAUCGGCCACGCGGGGACUGAGACACGGCCCAGACUCCUACGGGAGGCAGCAGUAGGGAAUCUUCGGCGAUGGACGAAAGUCUGACCGAGCAACGCCGCGUGAGUGAAGAAGGUUGUCGGAUCGUAAAGCUCUGUUGUAAGAGAAGAACGGGUGUGAGAGUGGAAAGUUCACACUGUGACGGUAUCUGACCAGAAAGGGACGGCUAACUACGUG